GACGAACGCUGGCGGCGUGCUUAACACAUGCAAGUCGAACGGAAAGGCCCGGCUUUUGUGGGGUGCUCGAGUGGCGAACGGGUGAGUAACACGUGAGUAACCUGCCCUUGACUUUGGGAUAACUUCAGGAAACUGGGGCUAAUACCGGAUAGGAGCUCCUGCUGCAUGGUGGGGGUUGGAAAGUUUCGGCGGUUGUGGAUGGACUCGCGGCUUAUCAGCUUGUUGGUGAGGUAGUUGCUUACCAAGGCUUUGACGGGUAGCCGGCCUGAGAGGGUGACCGGCCACCAUGGGACUGCGGUACGGCCCAGACUCCUACGGGAGGCAGCAGUGGGGAGUAUUGCACAAUGGGCGGAAGCCUGAUGCAGCAACGCCGCGUGCGGGAUGACGGCCUUCGGGUUGUAAACCGCUUUCGCCUGUGACGAAGCGUGAGUGACGGUAAUGGGUAAAGAAGCACCGGCUAACUACGUG
rnacentral:rRNA from 1 species